CGGCGGACGGGUGAGUAACGCGUGGGUAACCUGCCUCAUACAGGGGGAUAACAGUUGGAAACGGCUGCUAAUACCGCAUAAGCGCACAGUACCGCAUGGUACCGUGUGAAAAACUCCGGUGGUACAAGAUGGACCCGCGUCUGAUUAGCUAGUUGGUAAGGUAACGGCUUACCAAGGCGACGAUCAGUAGCCGACCUGAGAGGGUGACCGGCCACAUUGGGACUGAGACACGGCCCAAACUCCUACGGGAGGCAGCAUG
rnacentral:rRNA from 1 species